GAUGAACGCUGGCGGCGUGCCUAAUACAUGCAAGUCGAGCGAACAGACGAGGAGCUUGCUCCUCUGACGUUAGCGGCGAACGGGUGAGUAACACGUGGAUAACCUACCUAUAAGACUGGGAUAACUUCGGGAAACCGGAGCUAAUACCGGAUAAUAUAUUGAACCGCAUGGUUCAAUAGUGAAAGACGGUUUUGCUGUCACUUAUAGAUGGAUCCGCGCCGCAUUAGCUAGUUGGUAAGGUAACGGCUUACCAAGGCAACGAUGCGUAGCCGACCUGAGAGGGUGAUCGGCCACACUGGAACUGAGACACGGUCCAGACUCCUACGGGAGGCAGCAGUAGGGAAUCUUCCGCAAUGGGCGAAAGCUUGACGGAGCAACGCCGCGUGAGUGAUGAAGGUCUUCGGAUCGUAAAACUCUGUUAUUAGGGAAGAACAAAUGUGUAAGUAACUAUGCACGUCUUGACGGUACCUAAUCAGAAAGCCACGGCUAACUACGUG
rnacentral:rRNA from 1 species